rnacentral:rRNA from 1 species
UCCUGGUGGCGAGUGGCGAACGGGCUGAGUAAUAUAUCGGAACGUGCCCAGUCGUGGGGGAUAACGCAUCGAACGCUGUGCUAAUACCGCCUACGAUCUCUGGAUGAAUGCGGGGGACUCGCAACAGCCUCUCGCGAUUGGAGCGGCCGAUAUCUGAUUAGCUAGUUGGUGGGGUAAAAGCCCACCAAGGCGACGAUCUGUAGCUGGUCUGAGAGGACGACCAGCCACACUGCAACUGAGACACGGCCCAGACUCCUACUGGAGGAAGCAGUGGGGAAUUUUGGACAAUGGGCGAAAGCCUGAUCCAGCAAUGCCGCGUGCAGGAUGAAGGCCUUCGGGUUGUAAACUGCUUUUGUACGGAACGAAACGGUCUGCCUUAAUACGGUGGGCUACUGACGGUACCGUAAGAAUAAGCACCGGCUAACUACGUGCCAGCAGCCGCGGUAAUACGUAGGGUGCGAGCGUUAAUCGGAAUUACUGGGCGUAAAGCGUGCGCAGGCGGUUAUAUAACACAGAUGUGAAAUCCCCGGGCUCAACCUGGGACCUGCAUUUGUGACUGUAUAGCUAGAGUACGGUACAGGGGGAUGGAAUUCCGCGUGUAGCAGUGAAAUGCCUAGAUAUGCGGAGGAACACCGAUGGCGAAGGCAAUCCCCUGGACCUGUACUGACGCUCAUGCA